AACGAACGCUGGCGGCAUGCCUAACACAUGCAAGUCGAACGAGAUCUUCGGGUCUAGUGGCGCACGGGCGCGUAACGCGUGGGAAUCUGCCCUUUGGUUCGGAAUAACAGUUAGAAACGACUGCUAAUACCGGAUGAUGACGAAAGUCCAAAGAUUUAUCGCCAGAGGAUGAGCCCGCGUAGGAUUAGCUAGUUGGUGUGGUAAAGGCGCACCAAGGCGACGAUCCUUAGCUGGUCUGAGAGGAUGAUCAGCCACACUGGGACUGAGACACGGCCCAGACUCCUACGGGAGGCAGCAGUGGGGAAUAUUGGACAAUGGGCGAAAGCCUGAUCCAGCAAUGCCGCGUGAGUGAUGAAGGCCUUAGGGUUGUAAAGCUCUUUUACCCGGGAUGAUAAUGACAGUACCGGGAGAAUAAGCUCCGGCUAACUCCGUGCCAGCCGCCGCCGUAA
rnacentral:rRNA from 1 species